rnacentral:rRNA from 1 species
AGUAGGGCCUGCCCACUGAAUUUUUAAAGGGCCGCAGUAUUUUAACUGUGCAAAGGUAGCAUAAUCAUUAGUUUUUUAAUUGAAAGCUGGCAUGAAUGGUUUGAUGAGAAAAUAUCUGUUUCAAUAUUAAUUUUUUAAAAUUUUAUUUUUAAGUUAAAAAGCUUAAAUAAUAAUAAAAGACGAGAAGACCCUAUAGAGUUUAAUUUUUAAUUAAAUUUUAAAUUUUAGAAUUAAGGGUUUUAGAUUUAAUUAUUAAUUUAAUUGGGGUGAUUUAAAAAUUUAAUAAACUUUUUUUUAUUUUUACAUUAAUUUAUGAUUUUUUGAUCCAUAAAAAUGAUUAAAAGAAU